rnacentral:rRNA from 1 species
AAAAAAGGUAAGCUACUAAGAGCGAAUGGUGGAUGCCUUGACUGGUAAAGGCGAUGAAGGACGUACUAGACUGCGAUAAGCUACGGGGAGCUGUCAAGAAGCUUUGAUCCGUAGAUUUCCGAAUGGGGCAACCCAAUGUAUAGAGAUAUACAUUACCUAUAUAGGAGCGAACGAGGGGAAUUGAAACAUCUUAGUACCCUCAGGAAAAGAAAUCAAUAGAGAUUGCGUCAGUAGCGGCGAGCGAAAGCGUAAGAGGGCAAACCCAGUGCUUGCACUGGGGGUUGUAGGACUGCAAUGUGCAAGAGGUGAGUUUAGCAGAACAUUCUGGAAAGUAUAGCCAUAGAGGGUGAUAGUCCCGUAUGCGAAAAACAAACCUUAGCUAGCAGUAUCCUGAGUAGGGCGGGACACGAGAAAUCCUGUCUGAAGCUGGGUCGACCACGAUCCAACCCUAAAUACUAAUACCAGAUCGAUAGUGCACAAGUACCGUGAGGGAAAGGUGAAAAGAACUGAGGUGAUCAGAGUGAAAUAGAACCUGAAACCAUUUGCUUACAAUCAUUCAGAGCACUAUGUAGCAAUACAGUGUGAUGGACUGCCUUUUGCAUAAUGAGCCUGCGAGUUGUGGUGUCUGGCAAGGUUAAGCAAACGCGAAGCCGUAGCGAAAGCGAGUCUGAAUAGGGCGCUUAGUCAGAUGCUGCAGACCCGAAACGAAGUGAUCUAUCCAUGAGCAAGUUGAAGCUAGUGUAAGAACUAGUGGAGGACUGAACCCAUAGGCGUUGAAAAGCCCCGGGAUGACUUGUGGAUAGGGGUGAAAGGCCAAUCAAACUUCGUGAUAGCUGGUUCUCUCCGAAAUAUAUUUAGGUAUAGCGUUGUGUCGUAAUAUAAGGGGGUAGAGCACUGAAUGGGCUAGGGCAUACACCAAUGUACCAAACCCUAUCAAACUCCGAAUACCUUAUAUGUAAUCACAGCAGUCAGGCGGCGAGUGAUAAAAUCCGUCGUCAAGAGGGAAACAACCCAGACUACCAGCUAAGGUCCCUAAAUCUUACUUAAGUGGAAAACGAUGUGAAGUUACUUAAACAACCAGGAGGUUGGCUUAGAAGCAGCCAUCCUUUAAAGAAAGCGUAAUAGCUCACUGGUCUAGUGAUUUUGCGCGGAAAAUAUAACGGGGCUAAAGUAAGUACCGAAGCUGUAGACUUGAUUUUAUCAAGUGGUAGGAGAGCGUUCUAUUUGCGCCGAAGGUAUACCGGUAAGGAGUGCUGGAGCGAAUAGAAGUGAGCAUGCAGGCAUGAGUAGCGAUAAUUAAUGUGAGAAUCAUUAACGCCGUAAACCCAAGGUUUCCUACGCGAUGCUCGUCAUCGUAGGGUUAGUCGGGUCCUAAGUCGAGUCCGAAAGGGGUAGACGAUGGCAAAUUGGUUAAUAUUCCAAUACCAACAUUAGUGUGCGAUGGAAGGACGCUUAGGGCUAAGGGGGCUAGCGGAUGGAAGUGCUAGUCUAAGGUCGUAGGAGGUUAUACAGGCAAAUCCGUAUAACAAUACUCCGAGAACUGAAAGGCUUUUUGAAGUCUUCGGAUGGAUAGAAGAACCCCUGAUGCCGUCGAGCCAAGAAAAGUUUCUAAGUUUAGCUAAUGUUGCCCGUACCGUAAACCGACACAGGUGGGUGGGAUGAGUAUUCUAAGGCGCGUGGAAGAACUCUCUUUAAGGAACUCUGCAAAAUAGCACCGUAUCUUCGGUAUAAGGUGUGGUUCGCUUCGUAUUAGGAUUUACUCCGAAAGCGAAGAAACUUACAACAAAGAGUCCCUCCCGACUGUUUACCAAAAACACAGCACUCUGCUAACUCGUAAGAGGAUGUAUAGGGUGUGACGCCUGCCCGGUGCUCGAAGGUUAAUUGAUGGGGUUAGCAUUAGCGAAGCUCUUGAUCGAAGCCCGAGUAAACGGCGGCCGUAACUAUAACGGUCCUAAGGUAGCGAAAUUCCUUGUCGGUUAAAUACCGACCUGCAUGAAUGGCGUAACGAGAUGGGAGCUGUCUCAAAGAGGGAUCCAGUGAAAUUGUAGUGGAGGUGAAAAUUCCUCCUACCCGCGGCAAGACGGAAAGACCCCGUGGACCUUUACUACAGCUUGACACUGCUACUUGGAUAAGAAUGUGCAGGAUAGGUGGGAGGCUUUGAGUAUAUGACGCCAGUUGUAUAUGAGCCAUUGUUGAGAUACCACUCUUUCUUAUUUGGGUAGCUAACCAGCUUGAGUUAUCCUCAAGUGGGACAAUGUCUGGUGGGUAGUUUGACUGGGGCGGUCGCCUCCCAAAUAAUAACGGAGGCUUACAAAGGUUGGCUCAGAACGGUUGGAAAUCGUUCGUAGAGUAUAAAGGUAUAAGCCAGCUUAACUGCAAGACAUACAAGUCAAGCAGAGACGAAAGUCGGUCUUAGUGAUCCGGUGGUUCUGUGUGGAAGGGCCAUCGCUCAAAGGAUAAAAGGUACCCCGGGGAUAACAGGCUGAUCUCCCCCAAGAGCUCACAUCGACGGGGAGGUUUGGCACCUCGAUGUCGGCUCAUCGCAUCCUGGGGCUGGAGCAGGUCCCAAGGGUAUGGCUGUUCGCCAUUUAAAGCGGUACGCGAGCUGGGUUCAGAACGUCGUGAGACAGUUCGGUCCCUAUCUGCCGUGGGCGUAAGAAGAUUGAAGAGAUUUGACCCUAGUACGAGAGGACCGGGUUGAACAAACCACUGGUGUAGCUGUUGUUCUGCCAAGAGCAUCGCAGCGUAGCUAAGUUUGGAAAGGAUAAACGCUGAAAGCAUCUAAGCGUGAAGCCAACUCUAAGAUGAAUCUUCUCUAAGCUCUCUAGAAGACUACUAGUUUGAUAGGCUGGGUGUGUAAUGGAUGAAAGUCCUUUAGCUGACCAGUACUAAUAGAGCGUUUGGCUUAUCUUUAAUAAAGCAU